AGGUACAGAAUUUCAACCACGUUAAACAACUUCAUGAAAAGUCAGAACUUAGUGAACAUGAAAUUUUACCUUCGGUUGGGGCGACCACGGAGGAAAAACAAGCCUCCGAGUGGACUGGGCCAAACCCCUAAAGCCAUAAGAAACAUCUUUAAGCCGCAGAAUAUCUGACCAAUAAUGAUCCGGCCAAAAGGCCGAUCAACGAACCAAGUUACCCUAGGGAUAACAGCGCAAUCCUCUCCCAGAGCCCAUAUCGACGAGGGGGUUUACGACCUCGAUGUUGGAUCAGGACAUCCUGAUGGUGCAGCCGCUAUUAAG
rnacentral:rRNA from 1 species